ACAGUGAUUGUAAAAUCGUUGAAUUGACCUUAGAUCGAUGUAUGUGAGUGUGUACGCGAAUUGAAGAACAUGUGUACCAGAUUUAUUUAUUUAAUUAUAUUUGUGGAAUUAAUGGUGAGUGAUGUUCGAAGUUCAGAACCUUGUUUGGAAGGAUUUGCUAAAAUCAGAGGAAAAUGUGUGUUAAGAAAUCAGUCUAAACCAAAAGGAACCGGCGAAUAUAUUGUAGAUAUUAGGGUGAGGUGUGCAGAAGGAACUAUUAAAAUUGGAGGAAGAUGUCGGAGUACAUUAAAAAGAAAUAUGUUAAUUAAUCAAUAUUUAAUAUGAGAUGUUAUUUAUUACUUCUUUGUAAACGCUUUAUUGAUAUUUAUAAGUUAAAGUAUACUUACCUUUAAAUAAACCUAAUUAAUAUUUA